AUUGAACACUGGCGGCAGGCCUAACACAUGCAAGUCGAACGAGUGGCGGAAGGGUGAGUAAUGUCUGGGAAACUGCCCGAUGGAGGGGGAUAACUACUGGAAACGGUAGCUAAUACCGCAUACCAUCAGAUGUGCCCAGAUGUGAUUUGCUAGUAGGUGGGGUAAAGGGUCACCUAGGCGACGAGCCCUAGCUGGUCUGAGAGGAUGACGAGCCACACUGGAACUGAGACACGGUCCAGACUCCUACGGGAGGCAGCAGUGGGGAAUAUUGCAAAAUGGGCGCAAGCCUGAUGCAGCCAUGCCGCGUGUAUGAAGAAGGCCUUCGGGUUGUAAAGUACUUUCAGCGGGGAGGCGUUACCCGCAGAAGAAGCACCGGCUAACUCCGUGCCAGCAGCCGCGGUAAUAC
rnacentral:rRNA from 1 species